rnacentral:rRNA from 1 species
UACGGGGGGGCAAGCGUUGUUCGGAAUUACUGGGCGUAAAGGGCUCGUAGGCGGCCAACUAAGUCAAACGUGAAAUCCCUCGGCUUAACCGGGGAACUGCGCUUGAUACUGGAUGGCUUGAGAUUGGGAGAGGGAUGCGGAAUUCCAGGUGUAGCGGUGAAAUGCGUAGAUAUCGUUUGGAACGCCAAUGGUGAAAACAGGUCGCUGGGGAUGAGCUGACGCUGAGACACGAAAGCCAGGGGAGCAAACGGG